rnacentral:rRNA from 1 species
UACGUAGGGGGCAAGCGUUGUCCGGAUUUAUUGGGCGUAAAGAGCGUGUAGGCGGCCAGGUAGGUCCGUUGUGAAAACUCGAGGCUCAACCUCGAGACGUCGGCGGAAACCCUCUGGCUAGAGUCCGGAAGAGGCGAGUGGAAUUCCGAGUGUAGAGGUGAAAUUCGUAGAUAUUCGGAAGAACACCAGUGGCGAAGGCGACUCGCUGGACAGGUAUUGACGCUGAGGUGCGAAAGCGUGGGGAGCAAACAGG